UAAUACAGAGACUGCGAGCGUUAUUCGGAUUCACUGGGCGUAAAGGGUGCGCAGGCGGCCGUGUGUGUCAGGUGUGAAAUCUCGAGGCUUAACCUCGAAAUUGCGCCUGAAACUACACGGCUAGAGUACUGGAGAGGGUAACGGAAUUCACGGUGUAGCAGUGAAAUGCGUAGAUAUCGUGAGGAACACCAGAGGCGAAGGCGGUUACCUGGACAGUUACUGACGCUCAGGCACGAAAGCGUGGGGAGCAAAAGGGAUUAGAUACCCCUGUAGUCCACGCCCUAAACGGUGCACACUAGGUCUUGGCGGAUUCGACCCCCCCAGGGCCCAAGCUAACGCGUUAAGUGUGCCGCCUGAGGACUACGGCCGCAAGGCUAAAACUUAAAUGAAUUGACGG
rnacentral:rRNA from 1 species